rnacentral:lncRNA from 1 species
GUUGCCGUGGAGAACGACGAGGGUGUCGUUAGCGGGAAAGCGGUCUCCCGAGGCGUCGGUUGGGUCGUCGCGACGACUGUGGUCGAGACGCCAGAGGAAGGCGAAGUCUUGCGGGUCGGUCUGGGAGGAGCGAUCUGUGUCGGCCAAUGACGGAGGAGGGGAGGGGCGGUGGGGGUUAGGGUUAAGGUUAGGGUUGAGGUCAGGGUUAAGGUCAGGGUUGAGGUCAGGGUCAAGGUUAAGGUUAGGGUCGAGGUUAGGGUUAAGGUUAGGGUCGAGGUCAGGGUUGAGGUUAGGGUCGAGGUCAGGGUUGAGGUUAGGGUCAAGGUCAGGGUUAAGGUCAGGGUUGAGGUUAGGGUCAGGGUUAAGGUCGGGGUUAAGGUUAAGGUCAGAGUCGAGAUUAGGGGCGAGGUCAGAGUCGAGAUUAGGGGCAAGGUCAGAGUCGAGAUUAGGGUCAAGGUCAGGGUCAAGGUCAGGGGCGAGGUCUAUCUGUGGUUUGGGGGAGGGAGGGGUGUUGUUUGUGAAGGUGAGUGCCAGUUUGCACUGUUUCCCCGCCCUGCGACUCUGCUGCUGCUGCUUCCGCUCCUGACUGCCCCCACCAAGAUGGCCGAAUUCACCUUCCAUCCUGGUCUCACUAGCAUCAGUACACUGACUGACCUCACCAACAUGGCUGUCUUCACCAGCUUCCUCACUGCCCUCACCAAUAUGGCUGUCACUAUCAGCACACUGACUGCCCCCACCAAGAUGGCCGACUUCACCUUCCAUCCUGGUCUCACUAGCAUCAGUACACUGACUGACCUCACCAACAUGGCCUCGAUCUACCUUACCAGGAUGGCUUCCCUCUACCUCCACCAAGUCUUCCUCAACUAAACCCCGAGUCGUCCCCCCCUCUACGGCGACCUGGAUGGUCUCUCCCUCCCUCUGCUCCACGGUGUUGGAUUCAACCACCACACAGUCAGGUAAUUCCUCCCGACUCAGGACUCGGUCUUUAUCAGCCUCCCCUCUCCUCCCCCCUGCCUCACCCCUCUCUCCUCCUUCUCCUCCAACUGAAUGGUGUGAGCUCGGGGAGAAGGGGGAGAGGAUGGGGGAAGGGCAGGUGGGCAGAGGGUGGGAGUCAACACCUGUCUGUAAGAGCUCUAGAAGCUUCUGGAACUCUGUGACAUGAGGCCCGCUACCAGGAAGCCCUUCUGAUUGGCUGCCUCUGGGACCUGCCUCCUCCCCCUCAUCAACUCCCUCUUCCUCCCUCCCAGGGCGCUUCCCAUUCCUUCCUCCUCCUCUUCUUCUUUGCUCCAGUACCUCCUCUGAAGGCCAGUCUCCAACAAACUCCAACAACUCAG